rnacentral:sRNA from 1 species
UUUAAUCGCUUCAUAUGCUUUAUAUUGGUCUUCUGUUAAUUGCUGUUUUGAUUCUUGUUCGAAAACACGAUCUUUAAAUGGGUCUCUUUCAACAACCGCGUCAUAUUUUUCAACAUAACCUUUUUUGAUAAGUCCAUCUAAACUGGAUUUUGAAAAGCCCAUAUCCUCAAUAUCAGUUAAAAAUAUUGUUUUAUGUU